UUAGUUCUAAGUGAAUUCCCUCGGUAUGAUAAUUUGUUCAUCAGUUUGUUCCCCGUUUCUUCUCUAGCCUGAGCCUGACACACUAUUCUAGCUAGACAUGGGUGUGGCUCGUAACACCUGAUGACCAAACGGAUCUACGACACCAUCGAAUCUCAAACUUUAACUACCAAAACUAUUGUUUUUCAUCCUCUAGUCCCUUUUAGAAUUACUAAACGUCCUUUUUUGGGCCGAGAUUUCCAGGAACGCUUUCUCGGGGUUUGUGUGCAUGUAUUUCAAACCAUACAGACCUAAAAAUUAGAAGUCAUUCCAUCUUUAUUCCCGUAGAGCCUUCCAGCAGUUCCUAAACCGCUCCAGUCGGAGCAUGUUAUCAUUCUUGUUUGUUCUGAGUGAAUUCCCUCGGUAUGAUAAUUCUAUCAUCAGUUUGUUCCCCGUUUCUUCUCUAGCCUGAGCCUGGCAAACUAUUCNNNNNNNNNNNNNNNNNNNNNNNNNNNNNNNNNNNNNNNNNNNNNNNNNNNNNNNNNNNNNNNNNNNNNNNNNNNNNNNNNNNNNNNNNNNNNNNNNNNNNNNNNNNNNNNNNNNNNNNNNNNNNNNNNNNNNNNNCUAAACCGCUCUAGUCGGAGCACGUUAUCAUUCUUGUUAGUUCUGAGUGAAUUCCCUCGGUAUGAUAAUUCUUUCAUCAGUUUGUUCCCUGUUUCUUCUCUAGCCUGAGCCUGACACACUAUUCUAGCUAGACAUGGGUGUGGCUCGUAACACCUAAUGACCAAACGGAUCGACGGCACCAUCGAAUCUCAAACUUUAACUGCCAAAACUAUUGUUUUUCAUCCUGUUGUCCCAUUUAGAAUUACUAAACGUCCUUUUUUGGGCCGAGAUUUAGAGGAACGCUUUCUCGGGGUUUGUGUGCAAGUAUUUCAAACCAUACGGACCUAAAAAUUAGAAGUCAUUCCAUCUUUAUUCCCCUAGAGCCUUCCAGCAGUUCCUAAACCGCUCAAGUCAGAGCAUGUUAUCAUUCUUGUUAGUUCUGAGUGAAUUCCCUCGGUAUGAUAAUUCUUUCAUCAGUUUGUUCCCUGUUUCUUCUCUAGCCUGAGCCUGACACACUAUUCUAGCUAGACAUGGGUGUGGCUCGUAACACCUGAUGACCAAACGGAUCUACGACACCAUUGAAUCUCAAACUUUAACUACCAAAACUAUUAUUUUUCAUCCUGUAGUCCCUUUUAGAAUUACUAAACGUCCUUUUUUGGGCCGAGAUUUCCAAGAACGCUUUCUCGUGGUUUGUGUGCAAGUAUUUCAAACCAUACAGACCUAAAAAUUAGAAGUCAUUCCAUCUUUAUGCCCGUAGAGCCUUCCAGCAGUUCCUAAACCGCUCCAGUCGGAGCACGUUAUCAUUCUUAUUAGUUCUGAGUGAAUUCCCUCAGUAUGAUAAUUCUUUCAUAAGUUUGUUCCCCAUUUCUUCUCUAGCCUGAGCCUGGCACACUAUUCUAGCUAGACAUGGGUGUGGCUCAUAACACUUGUUGACUAAAUGGAUCGACGGCACCAUCGAAUCUCAAACUUUAACUGCCAAAACUAUUGUUUUUCAUCCUGUAGUCCCAUUUAGAAUUAUUAAACGUCCUUUUUUGGGCCGAUAUUUAGAGUAAUGCUUUCUCGGGGUUUGUCUGCAAGUAUUUCAAACCAUACGGACCUAAAAAUUAGAAGUCAUUCCAUCUUUAUUCCCCUAGAGCCUUCCAGCAGUUCCUAAACCGCUCUAGUCGGAGCACGUUAUCAUUCUUGUUAGUUCUGAGUGAAUUCCCUCAGUAUGAUAAUUCUUUCAUCUGUUUGUUCCCCGUUUCUUCUCUAGCCUGAGCCUGACACACUAUUCAAGCUAGACAUGGAUGUGGCUCGUAACACCUGAUGACCAAACGGAUCUACGGCACCAUCGAAUCCCAAACUUUAACUGCCAAAACUAUUGUUUUUCAUCCUGUAGUCCCUUUUAGAAUUACUAAACGUCCUUUUUUGGGCCGAGAUUUCCAGGAAUGCUUUCUCGGGGUUUGUGUGCAAGUAUUUCAAACCAUACAAAGCUAGAAAUUAGAAGUCAUUCCAUCUUUAUUAUCGUAGAGCCUUCCAGCAGUUCCUAAACCGGUCUAGUCGGAGCACGUUAUCAUUCUAGUUAGUUCUGAGUGAAUUCCCUCGGUAUGAUAAUUCUUUCAUCAGUUUGUUCCCCGUUUCUUCUCUAGCCUGAGCCUGACAAACUAUUCUAGCUAGACAUGCGUGUGGCUCGUAACACCUGAUGACCAAACGGAUCUAUAGCACCAUCGAAUCUCAAACUUUAACUGCCAAAACUAUUGUUUUCAUCCUGUAGUCCCUUUUAGAAUUACUAAACUUCCUUUUUUGGGCCGAGAUUUAGAGGAACGCUUUCUGGGGUUUGUGUGCAAGUAUUUCAAACCAUACAGACCUAAAAAUUAGAAGUCAUUCCAUCUUUAUUCCCCUAGAGCCUUCCAGCAGUUCCUAAACCGCUCUAGUCGGAGCACGUUAUCAUUAUUGUUAGUUCUGAGUGAAUUCCCUCGGUAUGAUAAUUCUUUCAUCAGUUUGUUCCCUGUUUCUUCUCUAUCCUGAGCCUGACACACUAUUCUAGCUAGACAUGGGUGUGGCUCGUAACACCUGAUGACUAAAUGGAUCGACGGCACCAUCGAAUCUCAAACUUUAACUGCCAAAACUAUUGUUUUUCAUCCUGUAGUCCCAUUUAGAAUUAGUAAACGUCCUUUUUUGGGCCGAGAUUUAGAGGAACGCUUUCUCGGGGUUUGUGUGCAAGUAUUUCAAACCAUACGGACCUAAAAAUUAGAAGUCAUUCCAUCUUUAUUCCCCUAGUCAUCAGGUAUACACUCAAGUCGGAGCACGUUAUCAUUCUUGUUAGUUCUGAGUGAAUUCCCUCGGUAUGAUAAUUCUUUCAUAAAUUUGUUCCCCGUUUCUUAUAUGGCCUGAGCCUGACACACUAUUCUAGCUAGACAUGGGUGUGGCUCGUAACACCUGAUGACCAAACGGAUCUACGGCACCAUCAAAUCUCAAACUUUAACUGCCAAAACUAUUCUUUUUCAUUCUGUAGUCCCUUCUAGAAUUACUAAACGUCCUUUUUUGGGCCGAGAUUUCCAGGAACGCUUUCUCGGGGUUUGUGUGCAUGUAUUUCAAACCAUACAGACCUAAAAAUUAUAAGUCAUUCCAUCUUUAUUCCCGUAGAGCCUUCCAGUAGUUCCUAAACCGCUCCAGUCGGAGCAUGUUAUCAUUCUUGUUAGUUCUAAGUGAAUUCCCUCGGUAUGAUAAUUCUUUCAUCAGUUUGUUCCCCGUUUCUUCUCUAGCCUGAGCCUGGCACACUAGUCUAGCUAGACAUGGGUGUGGCUCGUAACACCCGAUGACUAAAUGGAUCGACGGCACCAUCGAAUCUCAAACUUUAACUGCCAAAACUAUUGUUUUUCAUCCUGUAGUCCCAUUUAGAAUUACUAAACGUCCUUUUUUGGGCCGAGAUUUAGAGGAACGCUUUCUCGUGGUUUGUGUGCAAGAAUUUCAAACCAUACGGACCUAAAAAUUAGAAGUCAUUCCAUCUUUAUUCCCCUAGAGCCUUCCAGUAGUUCCUAAACCGCUCUAGUCGGAGCACGUUAUCAUUCUUGUUAGUUCUGAGAGAAUUCCCUCGGUAUGAUAAUUCUUUUAUCAGUUUGUUCCCCGUUUCUUCUCUAGCCUGAGCCCGACACACUAUUCUAGCUAGACAUGGGUGUGGCUCGUAACACCUGAUGACCAAACGGAUCUACGGCACCAUCGAAUCUCAAACUUUAACUGCCAAAACUAUUGUUUUUCAUCCUGUAGUCCCUUUUAGAAUUACUAAAUGUCCUUUUUUGGGCCGAGAUUUCCAGGAACGCUUUCUCAGGGUUUGUGUGCAAGUAAUUCAAACCAUACGGACCUAAAAAUUAGAAGUCAUUCCAUCUUUAUUCCCCUAGAGCCUUCCAGCAGUUCCUAAACCGCUCAAGUCAGUGCACGUUAUCAUUCUUGUUAGUUCUAAGUGAAUUCCCUCGGUAUGAUAAUUUGUUCAUCAGUUUGUUCCCCGUUUCUUCUCUAGCCUGAGCCUGACACACUAUUCUAGCUAGACAUGGGUGUGGCUCGUAACACCUGAUGACCAAACGGAUCUACGACACCAUCGAAUCUCAAACUUUAACUACCAAAACUAUUGUUUUUCAUCCUCUAGUCCCUUUUAGAAUUACUAAACGUCCUUUUUUGGGCCGAGAUUUCCAGGAACGCUUUCUCGGGGUUUGUGUGCAUGUAUUUCAAACCAUACAGACCUAAAAAUUAGAAGUCAUUCCAUCUUUAUUCCCGUAGAGCCUUCCAGCAGUUCCUAAACCGCUCCAGUCGGAGCAUGUUAUCAUUCUUGUUUGUUCUGAGUGAAUUCCCUCGGUAUGAUAAUUCUAUCAUCAGUUUGUUCCCCGUUUCUUCUCUAGCCUGAGCCUGGCAAACUAUUCUAGCUAGACAUGGGUGUGGCUCGUAACACCUGAUGACCAAACGGAUCUACGACACCAUCGAAUCUCAAACUUUAACUACCAAAACUAUUGUUUUUCAUUCUAUAGUCCCUUCUAGAAUUUCUAAACGUCCUUUUUUGGGCCGAGAUUUCCAGGAAUGCUUUCUCGGGGUUUGUGUGCAAGUAUUUCAAAUCAUACGGACCUAAAAAUUAGAAGUCAUUCCAUCUUUAUUCCCCUAGAGCCUUCCAGUAGUUCCUAAACCGCUCCAGUCGGAGCACGUUAUCAUUCUUGUUAGUUCAUAGUGAAUUCCCUCGGUAUGAUAAUUCUUUCAUCAGUUUGUUCCCCGUUUCUUCUCUAGCCUGAGCCUGGCACAGUAUUCUAGCUAGACAUGGGUGUGGUCGUAACACCUGAUGACUAAAUGGAUCGACGGCACCAUCGAAUCUCAAACUUUAACUGCCAAAACUAUUGUUUUUCAUCCUGUAAUCCCAUUUAGAAUUACUAAACGUCCUUUUUUGGGCCGAGAUUUAGAGGAACGCUUUGUUGGGGUUUGUGUGCAAGUAUUUCAAACCAUACGGACCUAAAAAUUAGAACUCAUUCCAUAUUUAUUCCCCUUGAGCCUUCCAGCAGUUCCUAAACCGCUCUAGUCGGAGCACGUUAUCAUUCUUGUUAGUUCUAAGAGAAUUCCCUCGGUAUGAUAAUUCUUUUAUCAGUUUGUUCCCCGUUUCUUCUCUAGACUGGGCCCGACACACUAUUCUAGCUAGACAUGGGUGUGGCUCGUAACACCUGAUGACCAAACGGAUCUACGGCACCAUCGAAUCUCAAACUUCAACUGCCAAAACUAUUGUUUUUCAUCCUGUAGUCCCUUUUAGAAUUACUAAACGUCCUUUUUUGGGCCGAGAUUUCCAGGAACGCUUUCUCGGGGUUUGUGUGCAAGUAUUUCAAACCAUACGGACCUAAAAAUUAGAAGUCAUUCCAUCUUUAUUCCCGUAGAGCCAUCCAGCAGUUCCUAAACCGCUCCAGUCGGAGCACGUUAUCAUUCUUGUUAGUUCUGAGUGAAUUCCCUCGGUAUGAUAAUUCUUUCAUCAGUUUGUUCCCCGUUUCUUCUCUAGCCUGAGCCUGACAAACUAUUAUAGCUAGACAUGGGUGUGGCUCGUAACACCUGAUGACCAAACGGAUCUAUGGCACCAUCGAAUCUCAAACUUUAACUGCCAAAACUAUUGUUUUUCAUCCUGUAGUCCCUUUUAGAAUUACUAAACGCCCUUCUUUGGGACGAGAUUUCCAGGAACGCUUUCUCGGGGUUUGUGUGAAAGUAAUUCAAACCAUACGGACCUAAAAAUUAGAAGUCAUUCCAUCUUUAUUCCCGUGGAGCCUUCCAGUAGUUCCUAAACCGCUCCAGUCGGAGCACGUUAUCAUUCUUGUUAGUUCUGAGUGAAUUCCCUCGGUAUGAUAAUUCUUUCAUCAGUUUGUUCCCUGUUUCUUCUCUAGCCUGAGCCUGGCACACUAUUCUAGCUAGACAUGGGUGUGGCUCGUAACACCUGAUGACUAAACUGAUCAAUGACACCAUCGAAUCUCAAACUUUAACUGCCAAAACUAUUGUUUUUCAUCCUGUAGUCCCAUUUAGAAUUACUAAACGUCCUUUUUUGGGCCGAGAUUUCCAGGAACGCUUACUCGGGGUUUGUGUGCAAGUAUUUCAAACCAUACUGACCUAAAAAUUAGAAGUCAAUCCAUCUUUAUUCCCCUAGAGCCUUCCAGCAGUUCCUAAACCGCUCCAGUCGGAGCACGUUAUCAUUCUUGUUAGUUCUGAGUGAAUUCCCUCGGUAUGAUAAUUCUUUCAUCAGUUUGUUCCUUGUUUCUUCUCUAGCCUGAACCUGACACACUAUUCUAGCUAGACAUGGGUGUGGCUCGUAACACCUGAUGACCAAACGGAUCUACGGCACCAUCGAAUCUCAAACUUUAACUGCCAAAACUAUUAUUUUUAAUCCUCUAGUCCCAUUUAGAAUUACUAAACGUCCUUUUUUGGGCCGAGAUUUAGAGGAACGCUUUCAUGCGGUUUGUGUGCAAGUAUUUCAAACCAUACGGACCUAAAAAUUAGAAGUCAUUCCAUCUUUAUUCCCCUAGAGCCUUCCAGCAGUUCCUAAACCGCUCCAGUCGGAGCAUGUUAUCAUUCUUGUUAGUUCUGAGUGAAUUCCCUCGGUAUGAUAAUUCUUUCAUCAGUUUGUGGCCCGUUUCUUCUCUAGCCUGAGCCUGACACACUAUUCUAGCUAGACGUGGGUGUGGCUCGUAACACCUGAUGACCAAACGGAUCUACGGCACCAUCGAAUCUCAAACUUUAAGUGCCAAAACUAUUAUUUUUAAUCCUGUAGUCCCAUUUAGAAUUACAAAAAUGUCCUUUUUUGGGCUGAGAUUUCCAGGAACGCUUUCGUGCGGUUUGUGUGCAAGUAUUUCAAACCAUACAGAC
rnacentral:lncRNA from 1 species